rnacentral:rRNA from 1 species
CUGGAGGUAUCAGAAGUGCGAAUGCUGACGUGAGUAACGACAAUGCGAGUGAAAAACUCGCACGCUGAAAGACCAAGGGUUCCAGUCCAACGUUAAUCGGGGCUGGGUGAGUCGACCCCUAAGGCGAGGCCGAGAGGCGUAGUCGAUGGGAAAUUGGUUAAUAUUCCAAUACUUCUGUGUAAUGCGAUGAGAGGACGGAGAAGGUUAAGUCAGCCUGGCGUUGGUUGUCCAGGUGAAAGGUUGUAGGCAUGUAUCUUAGGCAAAUCCGGGGUACUCUAUGCUGAGAACUGAUAGCAAGCUGUACUUGUACAGUGAAGUGGCUGAUACCAUGCUUCCAGGAAAAGUCUCUAAGCUUCAGUUACACAGGAAUCGUACCCGAAACCGACACAGGUGGUCAGGUCGAGUAGACCAAAGCGCUUGAGAGAACUCUGCUGAAGGAACUAGGCAAAAUGGUACCGUAACUUCGGGAGAAGGUACGCUGCCGACGGUGAUGGGAUUUACUCCCUGAGCGGUUGGCAGCCACAGAAACCAGGCCCCUGCAACUGUUUAUUAAAAACAUAGCACUCUGCAAACACGAAAGUGGACGUAUAGGGUGUGAUGCCUGCCCGGUGCUGGAAGGUUAAUUGAUGGGGUUAGCGUAAGCGAAGCUCUUGAUCGAAGCCCCAGUAAACGGCGGCCGUAACUAUAACGGUCCUAAGGUAGCGAAAUUCCUUGUCGGGUAAGUUCCGACCUGCACGAAUGGCAUAAUGAUGGGGGCGCUGUCUCCAGCAGAGACUCAGUGAAAUCGAAUUCGCCGUGAAGAUGCGGUGUACCCGCGGCUAGACGGAAAGACCCCGUGAACCUUUACUGCAGCUUGACAUUGAACUUUGAUCUUACUUGUGUAGGAUAGGUGGGAGGCUUUGAAACUCGGACGCUAGUUCGAGUGGAGCCAAUCUUGAAAUACCACCCUGGUAAUAUUGAGGUUCUAACUCUGCUCCAUUAUCUGGAGCGAGGACCAUGUCUGGUGGGUAGUUUGACUGGGGCGGUCUCCUCCUAAAGAGUAACGGAGGAGUACGAAGGUGCGCUCAGCGUGGUCGGAAAUCACGCGUAGAGUAUAAAGGCCAAAAGCGCGCUUAACUGCGAGACCCACAAGUCGAGCAGGUACGAAAGUAGGUCUUAGUGAUCCGGUGGUUCUGUAUGGAA